UACUGCAUCAGGAACUGAUUGGCUGAUGCCUAGUGGCCAACAGUACCUGAUGCAUUUCC
rnacentral:pre_miRNA from 1 species